rnacentral:rRNA from 1 species
GACGAACGCUGGCGGCGUGCCUAAUACAUGCAAGUCGAACGAGAGCGACCGGUGCUUGCACUGGUCAAUCUAGUGGCGAACGGGUGAGUAACACGUGGGUAACCUGCCCAUCAGAGGGGGAUAACAUCCGGAAACGGAUGCUAAAACCGCAUAGGUCUUCGAACCGCAUGGUUUGAAGAGGAAAAGAGGCGCAAGCUUCUGCUGAUGGAUGGACCCGCGGUGCAUUAGCUAGUUGGUGAGGUAACGGCUCACCAAGGCCGUGAUGCAUAGCCGACCUGAGAGGGGGAUCGGCCACAUUGGGACUGAGACACGGCCCAAACUCCUACGGGAGGCAGCAGUAGGGAAUCUUCCGCAAUGGACGCAAGUCUGACGGAGCAACGCCGCGUGAGUGAAGAAGGUUUUCGGAUCGUAAAACUCUGUUGUUAGAGAAGAACAAGUGCUAGAGUAACUGUUAGCGCCUUGACGGUAUCUAACCAGAAAGCCACGGCUAACUACGU